AGGCCAGAAGCUGAAAUGAGUCUUACGUGGCUGAAAUCAAGAUGUGAGCAGGGCUGAUUCCCUUUGGAGGCUCCAGAGGAGAAUCUGUUUCUUGCAUUGUCCAGCUUCAGGCAUUUAUAGAAGACCCAAUGUGUGUAUGACAUUGUGCAUGGAACCACGGAUGUAGAGAUGAACACAGUCAGACUGCUGCCUCAUAACUCAGGAAUUAAAGAAAUCUCCACACGCCCCAGCUGUGCUCAAGAGGGGUUCACCCUUCUCUCCUGACCCCUGGAACCUCAGCCACCUGGUCCUGUCCUGCCAGCAGAAAAUAGUGGCCAGCUGGGGGCGCCAGCGAUGAGCAACGGAGACAGUAAGUUCAAGUUCAAGGCAUCUUGAGGCAGAGGAGUCUGCUUUGAGCAGCCAUAAAGGGAGGCUGGAGACCCUGGGAGCAGCCUGCAUUAGGACAGAGGUAAGAGUAGACUGGCUGGGUCAGGCUGAAAGCAGAGAGGGAGAUGG